rnacentral:misc_RNA from 1 species
AAGUCGUAACAAGGUUUCCGUAGGUGAACCUGCGGAAGGAUCAUUACAAAUCCCAUUUGAUUCAUAUCUGUUGAAAUGUGAAAAAGUGAGAGAGACAGAGAGAGGGGUGGUGGUGGUUAGGGUUCGUGAUUGGUUAGGGUUAGGGUUUAGGUCAGGUUUUGUUAUAAAAUACACAACCAUUCUAAUGACUUGUACGAUUCCAUCCCUAUACACACACACUCGCGUUUCUCUUCUUCAUCACCUCACCUGCUUUCUCACUUUUCUUUUCAUUCUUUUUUGUUGAUCUAUUUUAAAUAUUUCGAUGACACACACUUUACACAACUUGUGACAAUGGAUCUCUAGGCUCUU